CUCACGCCAUAACCGUUUUUGCUCGUGGAAAAAGCGAAUAGUGAAUUGACGACUUAAGAAGAGCAAACCGGUGGCAGUAACCGAGAGAAAGGGAAAUCAUAGAGAGACGGAGUCACGUGCUGUGCUUAAAGCCUGUCCCUCACCAUCGGCUUCUUCACAUUUGGUGAUGGCGACUGCGAUGGACGGAAACUUGGAUGCUUCCUUCCGCUAUUGCCGAUUGCAAUGCAACUCAAAUACAGAAAAUCACAGGUUAUAAGGGGGAGAUUGAAUAGGAGAGAGUUCACCUUGAGAUCUUCAAAUUCACUAUAAUAUACGUUACCAUCAAAUUAAGCCUGUAAGUGUGUCAAUAGAGUUGUUAGUGACCCUCUGAAUACCGAUAAACUUGCUAAAUAUUUAAAAAAGAAAAAAAAAACACUUGUCAUUCUCACACAAGCAGCACAAGAAGUAAGCAAUCUUUAACAUUCUUUCAACUGUUGCCUUCUGCUUUCUAAGUCAUCUUGCUACUCGAUCAAAUGGCAGCAUAAUUCUCAUAAUGUCCUUCUGGAAAGAAAGGUGGAUACCUUGGAUUGUUUCCUUGCAAUUUAAUUAUAUAAGCACUUUAUAGUUUAAAGUGAAUAUAGUUAAAAAAUAGUUUAAAGGUAUAUUAUAGGAUACAUUAUAUAUCAAUAACUAAGUCUAAAGUUUAAAUGUUAAAUCAGGUAUGAAUCUAUAUGAAAAUAAUUGCACGAAAUUCCUUUAAGAAUUAAAACUUAACCCAAACUGAAAUGUCGAGAGUCAGAACCUAAACAAAAUUCUAAAUUCUAAAAUAUGAAGCCUAGUAAAAUUAAAUGUCUAUUUCCUACAAAAAAAAAAUCCAUUAUUUGGAAGUUUUGAAAAUAUAAAUAAAUUAGAAACACAGAAAGAACACUCGACUCUGUUCUACUUAAACACAAGGCAGAUCUAAACUGCAAAUGGCCACCGGGUGCCUAUCAAAUUCCAAGGAUUUCCAUGUUACAACUCUUCUGUCUACUCGCCAAAAGUACAGUACCUAACCUAUAUCGGCUUAUCUUUUAUAGCAAGGUGUUGAUGCCCAUAUAAUGUUAGAACAAUAACUAUUCCUUGCAGAAAAGUUAGAGUAACUUAUAGCAGAAUUCUAUUUCCAUGGCACAUUUGGCAUUCCCUGUGGAUUACUGUUGCAUCCUCCAGUACUCUGGUUCGGGGGGCUUCCAGGGCCACCAGAUGAUUCGCUAAAAGUUCCUCGGGAUGUUGGGCUUCCUGCUAUCGAUGCACCUGGACCAUACAUAGUUUCAGGUUGGUUAAUCCCCGGUCUCGACUCUUUCCACUCUUCUGAAAUAAAGCUACCCACAAUAAUCUGCAAACAGAAACAAACUCCAAUGCAUCAACGAGAAGAGACCUCAGGAAAAAAUACAUAUGAAAGCGAAGAAGGUCAAUUUCCCUUGGCAUCGUAAAGUCAUUUUGAGAGAUCAUGCAAUUCGUGCAUAAUGCAGUCUCUAUAUGACAAAUUGGCUAUCACUGCUUGAUGCAGCACAAAAGAAAAAAUGAGAAGCAGAAGAACCUGAACAGAAGAUGCUGCCGUGAGGAGCCCUGCCACUCCACCACCUAGAACACGACCAUCAGGCCCAGCUAGUAAAACACUCAAACCACCUGUUCUGCUUCGCUGGCCACUACUCUCUGAAGGGAAAAAUGAACCAGAAAGUGACAAAAUCUCAAAUCGUCCCUGCAUAAACAAAUGAUAGAAGGGUUGACUUGAUCUGUGAAUACAAUAUUUAAGAAUCAAAUUUUCUGAGUCUCUUACACAACUAUCUGAAUAAAACAAGAAAGUCAAGUUAACGAUGGGCUAAUAAUUUUCUAUGAGUAAGAAUUUACAACAACGAAGGGGAAUCAGGCCUUUUUGCUAGAGAGAGAAACCAAUGCUUUUUCUUGUAGUUUUAGUUUGUUCCUUUUCCUAGUUCAUCAAUCUACUACUGCACAAAACUCUUAGCUCUGAGUGUGCAUGUAUUAUUAUUUAUUUAUUUAUUAUUAUUAUCUUAUGGGUCUAUAUAUUGUACUUUUACAAACUUAUCCCCUUAACUAAGAGAGGAACUUGGCUACCCCAAUUCUAAUAUGAAAAAAACAAAAAAGAAAAAAAAAAACUCUGAUGUCAUGUGAGCAUUGUGAUUCCUUGAAUCUCCAACAAUGAAAAAGAACAACUUAAUAGAAAGGGGCGGAGAGGGCAAAAGUUCUCCUGUGCCGCAACUAGUGUUUAAAAUUCUUUUUCCCAGCAACUAUUGACUUAGCCAAUUAGCUUUAGCAAAUGACCUUUCCCCCUCCACCAAACUCACAAAGAUUAUCAAUCCCUGCAAACUGCAUUGUCCCAACUUCCUUGGCCACUCCAAAAAAAUCAGCUAUAUAACAGAAAAUGGAGCAAAUUUUUUCUUCUUUUACUGUGAUUGUAAAUUGAUAUACAGCAUAAACAAUAUAAACUUUGAACACACCUCAUAUGUUACGGUUCCACCAGAUGUUGCAGUUUGACAAAGUGUAACAUUAGAUAUGGCACCACUUGCUGACAAAAUGCAGACAGCUCUUGGACCAUUUUGGGGGAAAGACAUUAUUUUCAACAACACAUCCUGUGGGGAUAAAUUUUAAAAUCAAACAUAAUAACUCCUGAGAAAAGAUGAAACAACACUUGUAAAAUGUUCAAACUGCUAUAAAGUAAAUAUAUAAAAGAGACCCCUUAUUUGGGAGAACAAAAGCAGCUUCUUUUUUUUUUUUUAAUUACAUCUUGCUUCAAUUUGCAUUAGCAAAUGAGUGGAAGUAGGAUAAAGGGCAGCCAUCUCAGUUGCCGUAUCCAAUUUGCUCCAGAGAAAAAGAAAUGGAAUGGAAAUACACGAGCGCAUACUGCAUAACCAUGUCAAACAAUACUGUGAUGCCCCACCCAUAAAGAUAACGCUGCACCAUGCUUCAAUAGCAGUUGACUGCAAAUGCUACCGUAUGCAGCAUCACUUGCAUGUUGCAUUUAUAAUAUGACACUUAUUUGCUUAUCCUCAGGCGUAUAAUCAUGAUUUAAACUAAUUGGCAUCCCCUUUAAUGAACCAAAAUCUUAGUCAACAAAGCAACACGCUGAUCACAUUAAGCUGUAUUAUAGAACAUUGACGGUUAACUAUAGCAGUAUUGAUCCAAUGUUAUGAGGAACUAAAAAUUUUAAGGCUAGACAUAUGUUAUUCCAGAAGUACAUUAUCAGUGAAACUUUCUACCUUAUUCUGAUGGUGGCUUAACACAAUAUUCCAUGAUCAAGUUGCAGCAAAUAAAACAGAAAGACUACUCUUCCAUAAGACGCAUUAUAGUUGUCAGCCAAAGGAGUGAAAUAUUAAGUUUCUUGCAAUUAUGCAAUGCCUUGCCACAAUGAAAAUGAAAAACAAAAAACCCACAGUUCAACACUAUGAAUUUUGCAGGAGUAUAGAUGUACACUGUUGAAAAGAAAAUACUUCUAAUGCCAUAAAUAAGAUUUAUCCUGGAAAAUAGGCCUUUGUUUUAUUAAGGAAUUGACAUUUAGUGACUAUAGAAAAAAGAAAAUUACCUCUCCAGCCUUCACUGUUAUAACAUGUGGUACAAAUCCAACCACUGCCGAUCCUGGAAAGCAAUAAAAGUCAAAACUAAAAAAUUAAAAUAGGACAAAACUUUAAAUAAAUUUCACUUCUAUUGCUUCCUUGCGCAUAUGACCCAACCUGAAUAAACAUUUCUGCAUCACAUUAAAAAAAUAAUAAAAAAAUAAAUUAAAUCAAAAAAGAAAAAGUGACUCGUCUCUGGCCAUUUCAGAUUGCAAGACGGAAAAGUAAUAUUUUGAUAAAGAAAAGGGCAAAAGGACUAGAAACGUUCUAACAUAAAAUAAAGGGUAAAAGUGUCAUUUCGACCAAGGAACAAAAUCCCGUGAAGUCCACUUACAUCAUCUCUCCAAUCGAUAUAAUCACAUCAUCAUACAGUAGAAACCAAAGUAAUUGAUCAAACGUACCUAAAGCGGCUAGUUGGUUUUUGCGGCCAGAACCAGGGGGUCUACCCCUUGCUUUCUUUGCAGUGGAUGAUGGAGAAAGAGGAGACUGAAAUUCAGAGUGAUGUAGAAGAGGAGACUGAUGGGGAUCAUGGUAGUUGUUGUGAUGAAGCUGGGAGAGCGGAGAUGUGAGGUUGAGGCCGAAAUGACCAUGGGGUGGGGAGUAUUUCCUGGGCCGUCCACGUUUUCUCUUGAUGGGCGCUGCGUUGUUCACGUUAAGUCCAUCGACACCAACACCAACACCAACACCGACGCCGACGCCGACGCCGACGCUGACAUCGCCACCACCCAACAUCAACAUCUCAUGGUGGUGCGCUGAAAUUGAUUGAACGUGAUGAAAUGGAUCAUCACUGGUGAUUGGCAUGAUGGGCUUGUAAACAGCAUUAGCCCCAUCGGCGCUGAAUGUGAGGUUCAUGUUUGAUGUUGGCGCUAUCGACGGUGUCUGAUUUCUUUCACUGCCUCCUCCGUACUGUUCUCUUUCUGACAUUUUUCUGGAAUCCUAAUCAUGAUCAUAAUCAUCA